GCCAGGUGCAGCGGCGCCUGCCUGUAGUCCCAGCUACUCGGGAGGCUGAGACAGGAGGAACACUUGGGUCCAGAAGUUCUGGGCUAUAGUGUGCUAUGCCAAUCUGGUGUCCACUAAGUUCGGCAUCAAUAUGGUGACCUCCCAGGAGUGGGGGGCCACUAGGUUGCCUAAGGAGGGGUAAACUGGCCCAGGUCAGAAACAGAGCAGGUCAAAACUCCUGUGCUAAUCUGUAGAGGGACUGCGCCUGUAAAUAGCCACUGAAUACCAGCCUGAGCAACAUAGUAAGACCCCCCCAU
rfam:Otolemur garnettii contig076998, whole genome shotgun sequence.